rnacentral:rRNA from 1 species
AGCGAACGCUGGCGGCAGGCCUAAUACAUGCAAGUCGAACGGAUCCUUCGGGAUUAGUGGCGGACGGGUGAGUAACACGUGGGAACGUGCCCUUUGGUUCGGAACAACUCAGGGAAACUUGAGCUAAUACCGGAUAAGCCCUUCGGGGGAAAGAUUUAUCGCCAUUGGAGCGGCCCGCGUCUGAUUAGCUAGUUGGUGGGGUAAAGGCCUACCAAGGCGACGAUCAGUAGCUGGUCUGAGAGGANGAUCAGCCACACUGGACUGAGACACGGCCCAGACUCCUACGGGAGGCAGCAGUAGGGAAUCUUGCGCAAUGGGCGAAAGCCUGACGCAGCCAUGCCGCGUGAAUGAUGAAGG